CAGCAGCCACGGUAAUACGUAGGUGGCAAGCGUUGUCCGGAAUUAUUGGGCGUAAAGGGCUCGCAGGCGGUUUCUUAAGUCUGAUGUGAAAGCCCCCGGCUCAACCGGGGAGGGUCAUUGGAAACUGGGAAGCUUGAGUGCAGAAGAGGAGAGUGGAAUUCCACGUGUAGCGGUGAAAUGCGUAGAGAUGUGGAGGAACACCAGUGGCGAAGGCGACUCUCUGGUCUGUAACUGACGCUGAGGAGCGAAAGCGUGGGGAGCGAACAGGAUUAGAUACCCCAGUAGUCCCUGUCUCUUAUAA
rnacentral:rRNA from 1 species